rnacentral:rRNA from 1 species
UGGGGAAUCUUAGACAAUGGGGGAAACCCUGAUCUAGCCAUGCCGCGUGAGCGAUGAAGGCCUUAGGGUUGUAAAGCUCUUUCAGCUGGGAAGAUAAUGACGGUACCAGCAGAAGAAGCCCCGGCUAACUCCGUGCCAGCAGCCGCGGUAAUACGGAGGGGGCUAGCGUUGUUCGGAAUUACUGGGCGUAAAGCGCACGUAGGCGGAUUAGUCAGUCAGAGGUGAAAUCCCAGGGCUCAACCCUGGAACUGCCUUUGAUACUGCUAGUCUUGAGGUCGAGAGAGGUGAGUGGAAUUCCGAGUGUAGAGGUGAAAUUCGUAGAUAUUCGGAGGAACACCAGUGGCGAAGGCGGCUCACUGGCUCGAUACUGACGCUGAGGUGCGAAAGCGUGGGGAGCAAAACAGGAUUAGAUACCCUGGUAGUCCACGCCGUAAACGAUGAAUGCCAGUCGU